GUGCCAGCCGCCGCGGUAAUACGGAGGGUGCAAGCGUUGUCCGGAAUCACUGGGCGUAAAGGGUGCGCAGGCGGGGCAGCAAGUCGGAGGUGAAAGCCCGUGGCUCAACCACGGAAGUGCCUUCGAAACUGUUGCUCUUGAGUACAGAAGAGGUCGGUGGAAUUCGUAGUGUAGCGGUGAAAUGCAUAGAUAUUACGAAGAACACCAGAGGCGAAGGCGGCCGGCUGGACUGUAACUGACGCUGAGGCACGAAAGCGUGGGGAGCGAACAGGAUUAGAUACCCUGUAGUCC
rnacentral:rRNA from 1 species